rnacentral:RNase_MRP_RNA from 1 species
AGGUUGUCUCAAGUUCCACUUUCAGGGUCACGUCAGCUAAUGACAUAAUCCCUGGGGAAAGUCCCCGGGCAAUUGGUGGAGACACCCGAGCGUAAAGCUCUGUUUCAAUAGCCGCAUACUUUCAUUUAAGCUGGGACUGUAAGGAGCUGGAAAGGUAGGCUACUGAAAUCGCCAUAUCACAGUUUAAUGUGGAAGCCCCUGGUUGGGGUAACAGAAUGGGGAUUACUCUGAAGCGAUC